rnacentral:rRNA from 1 species
ACGGGUGAGUAACACGUGGGCAAUCUGCCCUUCACUCUGGGACAAGCCCUGGAAACGGGGUCUAAUACCGGAUAACACUCCUACAGGCAUCUGUGGGGGUUAAAAGCUCCGGCGGUGAAGGAUGAGCCCGCGGCCUAUCAGCUUGUUGGUGAGGUAGUGGCUCACCAAGGCGACGACGGGUAGCCGGCCUGAGAGGGCGACCGGCCACACUGGGACUGAGACACGGCCCAGACUCCUACGGGAGGCAGCAGUGGGGAAUAUUGCACAAUGGGCGAAAGCCUGAUGCAGCGACGCCGCGUGAGGGAUGACGGCCUUCGGGUUGUAAACCUCUUUCAGCAGGGAAGAAGCGAGAGUGACGGUACCUGCAGAAGAAGCGCCGGCUAACUACGUGCCAGCAGCCGCGGUAAUACGUAGGGCGCAAGCGUUGUCCGGAAUUAUUGGGCGUAAAGAGCUCGUAGGCGGCUUGUCACGUCGGGUGUGAAAGCCCGGGGCUUAACCCCGGGUCUGCAUUCGAUACGGGCUAGCUAGAGUGUGGUAGGGGAGAUCGGAAUUCCUGGUGUAGCGGUGAAAUGCGCAGA